GCCAGUGUAGCUCAAUGUAGAGCACCCAACAUGUAAUUGGGAGGUUAUAGGUUCAAUUCCUACCGCUGGCU
rnacentral:tRNA from 1 species